CAAACCUGCUGAAUUUAAGCAUAUAAGUAGGCAGAGGAAAAUAAACCAAACAGGAUUCUUUUAGUAAUGGCGAAUGACCAAGGACCAAAUCAUGUUCAAAGCAGGCAUUCGCCUUGCAAUGUGCAGUGGUUGUGAAAUGCAAGCAGAAAUGUGUGUGAUACUCUCUGGGGGGGUAGCAUAGUAGGUGAAACUCCUUCUGUGGAUGCAUCAAUUUCUGCAUAGAGCAUUCACCUCUGAGUCGUGCUUCUUGGGAUUGAAGUGUAAAUGUGGUGGUAAGGUUCAUCUAAAUUUAAAUAAUGGUUUGUGGCCAAUAGCAAACAAGUACCAUGAGGGAAUUGUGAAAAGAACUUUGAGAAGAGAGUUAAAAGGCCCUGAACCUACUGUGAGUGAAAGCAAAUGGGUGCUGCAUAAGAAGCAAGGUUGCAUUGAGCUGAAGGGUUGUGCCUGUGGCGACAUUGUGUUGCUGGCCAGCUCCAAGGUCAUUGUGUUCCUUGCUCAGUUUGCUGAUGGCGUGCCUUUGCACAUGUGCUGAAUUUUGGGAAUUGCAGACUUCAUGCUGCAUGCUUUUGGGGGGAUAUGGUGAAAGGCCACGAGGAAAUCAAACAUGCAUGUGCAACUCUAGCAACACUAGUGUUGUGUCAAUGUUUGGUUCAUUUUGCUGGGGGGGCCAUUUGACCCGUCUUGAAACACGGACCAAGGGAAACAUUUUCCUNUUUCCCAAUUAGAACCUUACCACCACCUACAUCCUUCUUACUCCAACCCCCCCUUCUAUACAACUAUAACGCCCCCACCAUUAGCACAAUCUAAAAGUAUCUCUUCCACUCUUAAACAUUUCCACUUACCCUCCAUUCUUACAACACUUUCUGCCUAAUGCCUACACCUG
rnacentral:rRNA from 1 species